GACGAACGCUGGCGGCGUGCCUAAUACAUGCAAGUCGAACGAGAGCGACCGGUGCUUGCACUGGUCAAUCUAGUGGCGAACGGGUGAGUAACACGUGGGUAACCUGCCCAUCAGAGGGGGAUAACAUCCGGAAACGGAUGCUAAAACCGCAUAGGUCUUCGAGCCGCAUGGCUUGAAGAGGAAAAGAGGCGCAAGCUUCUGCUGAUGGAUGGACCCGCGGUGCAUUAGCUAGUUGGUGAGGUAACGGCUCACCAAGGCCGUGAUGCAUAGCCGACCUGAGAGGGUGUUCGGCCACAUUGGGACUGAGACACGGCCCAAACUCCUACGGGAGGCAGCAGUAGGGAAUCUUCCGCAAUGGACGCAAGUCUGACGGAGCAACGCCGCGUGAGUGAAGAAGGUUUUCGGAUCGUAAAACUCUGUUGUUAGAGAAGAACAAGUGCUAGAGUAACUGUUAGCGCCUUGACGGUAUCUAACCAGAAAGCCACGGCUAACUACGUG
rnacentral:rRNA from 1 species